UAUACUAUCUUGGGUACUUUUCAAAAUAGUUUAUUGAAGAACGCUUACUUUAACACUCUAAUGCAUAUUUUCACUUUUAUUCGAAUACAGAUACAGAUACAAAUACUGGGCUCUCUGCACAUCCUUAACAGCGCAACCGAUAUAUGAUGCCACACGUCAGUUAGUGUCAUACAUGAUCCUCUGAACUUCCAUUUGUUUGUCCCAUGAAAGCAGCUUCAGUCUGCCUGCUAGCGCCAGCACAGAGUUCUUUUAACACCGGCGUAGCAGGUGAGCAGUGGUUUGUUUUUCGCUCCUUGUUAACAGUAACAGCUGUCUCCAUGUCUCAUACGAGGGUACAAUGUCCAAACGGAAAACGAAACGAGCUCCUAGAGGCUACAAGAGAAACUGCAGUAGGAAGUCAGUCUGAGUCAGUAACAGCUGUAAAGUGAUGAAAGACUGUGUAAACGCUGUUUCAGAAUUUGAGAGGUGAGUAAACAGCGUUAACCUGCAUUAGAUCCCACUACAGCUCUGUGUAUAACUGUAAAAAUAAAAAAAGGGAAAUACUGGAAAUUUACAGGGGAAAUUACGCAAUGGGAGCACAGUAAGAGACGGGAGAAACCCAGGAAAAACACCUGCCUUGUUAGCACAAUUUAGCUAAACGUUAACCCAAGUCUGCAGUGUUUGGUCUUCCCAGUAUGCUAGCAUUAGCUUCAGUCUGAGGUAGCAGGGCCUGUUUCCAGAGUGCGAAAGAAAACACCCCGUACUCCUUAUUUGGAAGCUCUUGGCUCCGAACAGAAAAGAUGGCACCAACAAAAAGCUGCAACUCCAGGCUUCAAACCUGCUCCAAUGCAAAACAAUGGGUGAUCUUGCUACGUCCAUCUUUAUAAACAGUCUAUGAUUACAUUGCACUGGACUAUAUCACUCCCUGCAAACUGAGCAGUCAAGAAUGAUGCUCUGUAGUGAAAACACGGACAACAAUGAGAUCAGCAUGACAGCAGAAGACAAAGGAAAUAACAUUGAGACUUAAUUGAGACACCCAGCACCGCUUCAAUGAUGCACCACAUAAUCAUCAGACAGUGACAUGUACAAUCAUUAAAUUCUAGAGUAAAGUGUUCCCAGAGCACCAAGUCACAAUAUUCUUAAUUAACCUUUAGAUCGGGGAGGUUGUGUUCAACAAGUAACAGGGACAAAUUAAAUGAACAAGAUUCUGUUCUUUAUUUCUUCCUUACUUUGUGUUCUCAAUCCUGGAUCACCUCACAAGAUGGGAUUUUUGGCAUGUGGAAAACGUCUAUCUGACACUUGCCAGAUGAAACCCCGGAGGCCUCCACCUCUAAAAGGACCCAUGCUGUGUCAGGAAAAGGGAUUUAUGACAAUAACAUUUCACAUUUUUUCCCUUUGGACUCACUUGAGCUCCAAGACCUCAGAAACACAGAGACAAAGGAUAAAAAUAUAACUUUCCUUGGGAAAGACUUUAGGU